rnacentral:rRNA from 1 species
UGUAUAGGGAUCUGCCUGACAGUGGGGGACAACAGCCGGAAACGGCUGCUAAUACCGCAUACGCUCUACGGAGGAAAGUGGGGGACCUUUCGGGGCCUCACGCUGACAGAUGAACCUAUAUCAGAUUAGCUAGUUGGUGGGGUAAUGGCUUACCAAGGCGACGAUCUGUAGCUGGUCUGAGAGGAUGAUCAGCCACACUGGGACUGAGACACGGCCCAG